rnacentral:tRNA from 1 species
CCUGGUGGCUCAGAUGGUAGAGAAUCUACCUGAAAUGCAGGAGACACAGGUUCAAUUCCUGUGUCAGGA